GACGAACGCUGGCGGCGUGCCUAAUACAUGCAAGUAGAACGCUGAAAAGAGGAGCUUGCUCUUCUUGGAUGAGUUGCGAACGGGUGAGUAACGCGUAGGUAACCUGCCUUGUAGCGGGGGAUAACUAUUGGAAACGAUAGCUAAUACCGCAUAACAAUGGAUGACACAUGUCAUUUAUUUGAAAGGGGCAAUUGCUCCACUACAAGAUGGACCUGCGUUGUAUUAGCUAGUAGGUGAGGUAACGGCUCACCUAGGCGACGAUACAUAGCCGACCUGAGAGGGUGAUCGGCCACACUGGGACUGAGACACGGCCCAGACUCCUACGGGAGGCAGCAGUAGGGAAUCUUCGGCAAUGGGGGCAACCCUGACCGAGCAACGCCGCGUGAGUGAAGAAGGUUUUCGGAUCGUAAAGCUCUGUUGUAAAGUCAGAACGAGUGUGAGAGUGGAAAGUUCACACUGUGACGGUAGCUUACCAGAAAGGGACGGCUAACUACGUGCCAGCAGCCGCGGUAAUACGUAGGUCCCGAGCCGUGUCCGGAUUUUUUGGGCGUAAAGCGAGCGCAGGCGGUUUGAUAAGUCUGAAGUUUAAGGCUGUGGCUCAACCAUAGUUCGCUUUGGAAACUGUCAAACUUGAGUGCAGAAGGGGAGAGUGGAAUUCCAUGUGUAGCGGUGAAAUGCGUAGAUAUAUGGAGGAACACCGGUGGCGAAAGCGGCUCUCUGGUCUGUAACUGACGCUGAGGCUCGAAAGCGUGGGGAGCGAACAGGAUUAGAUACCCUGGUAGUCCACGCCGUAAACGAUGAGUGCUAGGUGUUGGAUCCUUUCCGGGAUUCAGUGCCGCAGCUAACGCAUUAAGCACUCCGCCUGGGGAGUACGACCGCAAGGUUGAAACUCAAGGGAAUUGACGGGGGCCCGCACAAGCGGUGGAGCAUGUGGUUUAAUUCGAAGCAACGCGAAGAACCUUACCAGGUCUUGACAUCCCGAUGCUAUUUCUAGAGAUAGAAAGUUACUUCGGUACAUCGGUGACAGGUGGUGCAUGGUUGUCGUCAGCUCGUGUCGUGAGAUGUUGGGUUAAGUCCCGCAACGAGCGCAACCCCUAUUGUUAGUUGCCAUCAUUCAGUUGGGCACUCUAGCGAGACUGCCGGUAAUAAACCGGAGGAAGGUGGGGAUGACGUCAAAUCAUCAUGCCCCUUAUGACCUGGGCUACACACGUGCUACAAUGGUUGGUACAACGAGUUGCGAGUCGGUGACGGCAAGCUAAUCUCUUAAAGCCAAUCUCAGUUCGGAUUGUAGGCUGCAACUCGCCUACAUGAAGUCGGAAUCGCUAGUAAUCGCGGAUCAGCACGCCGCGGUGAAUACGUUCCCGGGCCU
rnacentral:rRNA from 1 species